UACGGGCAGUGAAAAUGUCGAAAUUGUAGACUGCCAAGGUGCAGGAAGACAAGUGUCGGAAGCGCAAGAAGUGUCUGUUUCGUUGUUGUUGGAUGGGGAUAAACGGUGGAUCAUUGGCCACUGUGCCGUGUAAUGAUGUCAAUAAGAAAGAUCCCAGCGAGCAAUCGCAUCUGGCGAGGCGUGUGCGAAUCCGCUGUCGGACUUCGUCCUUCGUUUGAAGCCAAGACAUCAACACAUCUGCUUCAUCGCCAGUGCCAGCCAAUCUGACGAAGAUCCUGAUUCUAGAAUAAUACCGGAUAAAGACUUGGCUCGAGUUUGUUAGAAAUCAACAUCGCAAUGCACACCGCCGAGGGUGCUGUGCAAGAAUCGCGUCCGCGGCCAGAAAACUGACAAGGUAGAUCUUCAGAAACAUGUAGUGGAAAUUCGGUGGCAACAGUUGCGUAAUUUUCUACAUUCGUAGAAAGUCAACCUGCAUCAAUUCAGAAAAAAAAUGAAAUCCAUUUCAAAU